rnacentral:rRNA from 1 species
AUUGAACGCUGGCGGCAUGCUUUACACAUGCAAGUCGAACGGUAACAGGCCUUCGGGUGCUGACGAGUGGCGAACGGGUGAGUAAUGCAUCGGAACGUACCCAGAGGUGGGGGAUAACGCAGCGAAAGCUGUGCUAAUACCUCAUGUGAUCUGAGGAUGAAAGCGGGGGACCGAGCAGCAAUGUUUGGCCUCGCGCCUUUGGAGCGGCCGAUGUCGGUUUAGCUAGUUGGAGGGGUAAAGGCCUACCAAGGCGACGAUCCGUAGCUGGUCUGAGAGGACGACCAGCCACACUGGGACUGAGACACGGCCCAGACUCCUACGGGAGGCAGCAGUGGGGAAUUUUGGACAAUGGGCGCAAGCCUGAUCCAGCAAUGCCGCGUGCGGGAAGAAGGCCUUCGGGUUGUAAACCGCUUUUGGCAGGAACGAAACGGUGUCCGCUAAUACCGGGCGCUAAUGACGGUACCUGCAGAAUAAGCACCGGCUAACUACGUG